rnacentral:rRNA from 1 species
UACGUAGGUCCCGAGCGUUGUCCGGAUUUAUUGGGCGUAAAGUGAGCGCAGGUGGUUUAUUAAGUCUGGUGUAAAAGGCAGUGGCUCAACCAUUGUAUGCAUUGGAAACUGGUAGACUUGAGUGCAGGAGAGGAGAGUGGAAUUCCAUGUGUAGCGGUGAAAUGCGUAGAUAUAUGGAGGAACACCGGUGGCGAAAGCGGCUCUCUGGCCUGUAACUGACGCUGAGGCUCGAAAGCGUGGGGAGCAAACAGG